rnacentral:rRNA from 1 species
GACGAACGCUGGCGGCGUGCUUAAUACAUGCAAGUAGAACGCACAGGCUAUACCGUAGCUUGCUGCACCAUAGACUGUGAGUUGCGAACUGGUGAGUAAGGCGUAGGUAGCCUGCCGGGUAGCGGGUGGGAACUAGGGGAAAUGCCAGCUAAUACCGCAUGAUAUUGAUUAUUGCAUGAUAAUUUAUGGAAAGAUGCUAUUGCAUCACUACCAGAUGGACCUUCGUUGUAUUAGCUAGUAGGGGAGGUAACGGCUCACCUAGGCGAGGAUACAUAGCCGACCGGCGUGGGUGGUCGGCCGCCCUGGGACUGUGACCCGGCCCAGAGUGCUACGGGAGGCAGCAGGAGGGCAUCUGGGGCCAUGGGCGGAAGUCUGACCGCGCUACGCCGCGUGAGGGAAGAAGGUUUUCGGGUCGUGAAGCUCUGUUGUAAGAGAAGAACGGGUGUGAGAGUGGCAAGUUCACAAUGUGACGGUAUUUUAUCAGAAAGGGACGGCUAACUACGUG